AAAAGCUUUACGACUGAGUUUUCAAUAUCAGUGGAUCAUCUUCAAUUUUGAUAUCUACAAUUUCUCAACUCAAUAUGAAUUGUAAAAUUAUUUUCGCUUUUGUAAUUCUUUUUGUAGCUGUUGCUUUUGCCAGGGAUUGUAGAUCCAGAGCAGAUAGAGGUCCUUGUCAUGGAAGGAUAAACGCUUGGGCUUAUAAUCGACACACAAGAAACUGUGAUAAGUUUAUUUAUGGUGGAUGUCACGGCAAUGAGAACCGAUACUCAUCUCGUCUUGAAUGUGAAAGGGCAUGCAAGCGAUAAAAACCUCGAAGAAAGGACAUACUUAAUAUUUGGCGUGGAAAAUAAAAUAAAUAGUAUUUGCAUGAAAA